CAACUUUCAACAAUGGAUCUCUUGGCUCUGGCAUCGAUGAAGAACGCAGCGAAAUGCGAUAAGUAGUGUGAAUUGCAGAAUUCAGUGAAUCAUCGAAUCUUUGAACGCACAUUGCGCCCCUCGGUAUUCCGUGGGGCAUGCCUGUUCGAGCGUCAUCU
rnacentral:rRNA from 17 species